GAUUUAUAAUGUUGUGAUAAUUUCAACCAAGUGAUUCAGUUAUACGUAUAAACACAUCCACUCUUUUUCAGGUUCUUUUCCAACAUGGAUUAUCUCAGAAUAUUGGGUAGAGUCCCCUGUGCUAUAAAGCAGAUCCUCAUUGGCCAGUCAUUCCAUAUACCAUGGGAGACAUUUUCCAAGGCUGUUUGCUAUACAUACUCUUUUAAAGACAGUCCAGAACAAAAGAUAGUCAAUGCCUCAUCUUGCAAGAUGUGCCAACAUGCCCCAGACCCCAGAGAAUUAUCUUCCAGUCACUGUAUGCUUAAUACCUAGAGCUGUGCUUCACUCAUAUUUAAAAUGAUCUGAAAGAGACUACUGAGCACCCUUUCAAAAUGUAAGUUGAGAAUUUAUUUUAAAAAGGAAUGCUAUAAAAUUUCCAGGAUGUUUGUAAUUCCCUCCAUGUUUCUUAAUUUUUCGCAUCAUGGCUUUUUUUCUAGGGGAUGAGCAGUAACAGAUAGAUAAAAGGAUUUCAGCAAGGAAGGAGAAAAAUGGAAAGACAGCUGGGAUCUUCCAGCAGCAUCCAUGAAACAGGCUGGGUAAUCAGCCUUCCAGCAGAGCAUCAGUCCACCUGUUUCCUCAGUGCCUUCAUGGUGAAUUCAGCACCCUGGGCUCUGUACCAUUGGGCAGCCUCUGUUUCAUUUCAGAUCCUGCCUCCCUCCAGUACUGGGAAAGAGGGCAAAUAAUUGUACUCAGAAAUGCAGCCUAAGGAUUCAGCUGCAUGUGGAUACUGUCUGGACAGGCAGUUUCCUGGAUCUUAUACAACAAUGCAUUUAAGAAAGAAUUAAUCUAGGCAGAAAUGACAGUGCUAAUUUUAUGCUACUUUUAACAUUCAUCGUAACUCUCUCACAGUCAAGCAUUUCUAGAAAGAUUCAUUCGAUCUGUAAGAUUCAAUUUUAGCCCUUUUAGAAAGCUGAGGUUUUCGUGGAUUUCCAAAGCAUUGCCCUCCAAAUUUCAAUUCCUGUUGUUUUGUACCAGCUAGUUCCCAAUUAUCAUAAACAAAUUGUUCUGCAUUGCUAAGAUUCCCAUUCCUUUCCCCCCAUUUCUUUUAGAAACUGUCUGCUUAGGAUAUUUUAUUAUUUGUCAGCUUCUAUACCAGGAUUAAUUUCAUUAGGGAAUGUGACAGGAUAUGAUGCUGUAGAUUCUUGAUUGCCAGUCGUUGGCUCUCAGCAAAGAGAAACUGGCUAGUGAAAAUUGAAAACAACUAUGUCACCCGUUGAUUUCUCAAUUCUCUAUUCAAAAUUAGCCAAUUCUCUAAAUUCCAGAAAUUAGCACAUCCAGAGAAAGAAUCAAUGAUGAAAACAAUGCUGUACCUUAAGAGCUGUGUUUAAUCAGCAUUGUCUGCUAUAUGUAAAAAAAAGUUAU
rnacentral:lncRNA from 1 species